GGACACGAGUGAACAAAGGAGAGGUUAAACCGCUUACUAGCGGCGAAAGAGCUUCUAUAUCAAAGUUCCACAUCUUUGUGACAAAGACGAUGCUAGUCUUUUCGACGAAUUACCUGUUGGAGGAAUACUAUAGGGACUUUUCUCUCGAGAGAUGGGGCAUAUCCGCUCUUAGCAGCAUUCCUCCUCAGAUGGACAGAGCAGAGCCUUAUUAG